AUACGUAGGGUGCGAGCGUUGUCCGGAAUUACUGGGCGUAAAGAGCUCGUAGGUGGUUUGUCGCGUCGUCUGUGAAAUUCCGGGGCUUAACUCCGGGCGUGCAGGCGAUACGGGCAUAACUUGAGUACUGUAGGGGAGACUGGAAUUCCUGGUGUAGCGGUGAAAUGCGCAGAUAUCAGGAGGAACACCGGUGGCGAAGGCGGGUCUCUGGGCAGUAACUGACGCUGAGGAGCGAAAGCAUGGGUAGCGAACAGGAUUAGAUACCCUGGUAGUCCAUGCCGUAAACGGUGGGCGCUAGGUGUAGGGGUCUUCCACGACUUCUGUGCCGUAGCUAGCGCAUUAAGCGCCCCGCCUGGGGAGUACGGCCGCAAGGCUAAAACUCAAAGGAAUUGACGGGG
rnacentral:rRNA from 1 species